ACUAUGUCGCCAGUUUUAGGUGCUCAGAAUUAUCGUCUUUAUUCUGAGUUAAACGGGAAACUGGUGCGACGAUUCGAUCUGACUCGCCUCUUCUAUUCCAGUGCUGCCCCCGCAACGGUAAGCAACCUAUCAUCAACAUCCCGCCACUGAGCGAAUCGCUUGGGAAGGCGUUGAUGAGAAUGUAAACGAAUUAACGUACAUUCAGGUUGUAAGCCCGGAUACCGGCCUAAUCAUGUUUUAGCUU
rnacentral:ncRNA from 2 species